rnacentral:lncRNA from 1 species
UUAGAAACCGGUUCUUUCUUUAUUGGCAAGAUAUCUUGGAACAAACUGAAUAAUGACAUACAUACAAUCAUACAUACAUACAUACAUACAUACAUACAUACAUACACACAUACAUACAUACACACAUUCAUACAUACACAACUACUCAAAGACACAUAUAUAUAUAUAAAUAUAAAAUACUACUACUACUACUACUACUACUACUACUACUACUACUACUACUACUAAUAAUAAUAAUAAUAAUAAUAAUAAUAAUAAUAAUAAUAAUAAUAAUGAUGAUAAUAGUCCUUUCUACUAAAGGCACAAGACCUGCAAUUUUGGGUGGGGGUAUAAUCAAUUACAUCGACCCCAGUGCUCAGCCGGUACAUAUUUUAUUGACACUGAAAGGAUGAAAGGCAUAGUCGACCUCAGUGGAAUUUGAACUCAGAAUGUAAAGACAGACAAAAUGCCACUAAGCAUUUUGCCUGGUGCAAUAAUAAUAAUAAUAAUAAUCCUUUCUACUAUAAGCGCAAGGCCUGAAAUUUUGGGGAAUGGACUAAUUAAUUACAUCGACUCCAGUGUUCCACUAGUACUUAAUUCGUUGACCUUAAAAGGAUGAAAGACAAAGUUGACAUCAGCAGAAUUUGAACUCGGAAUGUAGUGACGGGCGAAAUACCACCAAGCAUUUCGUCCAGUAUGCUAACAGUUCCACCAGCUCACUGCCUUAAUAAUAAUGAUAAUUAUGAUAAUAAUAAUAAUAAUUUCAUACAUUGUUGGUUGCUACUUAUCAAUCUUAAAAGAAGGUAAAACUAAGAUGACCUUCAGUGAUGUAGCUAGAAUGUGUACCACCUGGAACAACCCAGCCUCUGUAUUUGUCACCAGACCCCUGUCCCAGGCCUCAAAGCAGACCCCUUAUAUAGCAGACCCCCUUAUACAGCAGACCUCCUUAUAUAGCAAACCCCACCAAAUUGCCAUUCAAAUAAAAGCAUCUGUCAACUAGCAACAGGCUGUUGAUCUUUAUAGGAUUUGAACUCAGAACAUAAAGAGCUGGAGCAAACACUACAAGGCAUUUUACCUGCCGCUCUAACAAUUCUGCCAGUAUAGAUAAAUAUAUAUAUAUAUAAAGAAAAAUACAAGUAGGUUUCAAAAUUCACAACUGUUGCUUUGGCAGAAUUUUAUUGAUGCAUUCUUAGAUUACAUCACAGCAAAAUAAAAAAUAAAAAAACCCACCAUCAUCAAGUAACUUUUAAAUAUAUCAAUAAAAUGCUGCUGAAACAGCUGUUGUAAACUUUGACCCUCAACUUGUGUUCUUUUCAUACAUAUGCCACAUCUGGAACCAAAUUUGGGUCACAUCUACAAUUUAUAUUGGCUUUGGUAUCUAUGUGCAUAUGUAUAUGUGCGUGUGUGUGUAUAUAUAUAUAUAUAUACAUACAUACAUACAUAUAUAUACAUAAUAUAAGUAUAUAUACAUAUAUAUAUAUAUAUAUAUAUAUAUAUAUAUAUAUAUAUACACAUAGAUACACACACACACACACACACACACAUUGUUUUGGCAGAAUUUUAUUGAUGCAUUCAUAGAUACACACACACACACACACACACACACAUAUAUAUAUAUAUAUAUAAAUAAAAUAACAUGUUACAAUUACUUUUAUAGUCAAGAUAAAACUCUUUGGCAUCUGAAACUCAGAGUUUUAUCUUGACUAUUGAGUAAUUGUAACAAAUAUUAUUUUAUAGAUAAAUUUCCUCUUUUUACAUAAUAUUGAGGUCUCUUUCUUUCUUUUGUUAUCUUACCGUUUUUACCAAUAUAUAUAUAUAUAUAUAUAUGUUAGUUAGUUAGUUAGUUAAUUUGGCUCAAAAGCAAAUAGCAAGGCCAUGUAGGGGGAUAUGGAGUUAAGUACAGGGUGGUGUUCAUGUAAAGUGUUCAGGCCACUUGAGGUCCAGGGAGACUUUGAACAAAGCGGUCGUCGGCAUCUUCACCAUCUCGUCUGGCAGCUUGUUCCACGGAUCCGCAACCCGGAUGGAGAAAGCUCCUCUCCUUCAAUUGAGAUGAAAUCGUUGCAGGUAGAGCUUUUCGGAAUGACCCCGCAGCCGACGCUCUGGAGCAGGAGUGAAGAACAGCUCUUUCGAGAGGUUACACUUUCCGCUUAUGAUGUUGUGGGCGAGAAUGAGAUCACUACGGCGGCAGCGUUUUUCAAGAGAAUAAAGGUCGAGCGUCCUCAGCCUCUCUUCGUAGGACAAAUUUUUGAGACCAUGAACCAUGCGGGUAGCCAGCUUCUGGACUCUUUUGAGAUGCUGUAUGUCUUUGAGGAGAUAAGGAGAAGAGGCUUGAAUCCCAUACUCCAAUAUGGGUCUCACCAGCCUGACAUAGAGUGGUAGGAAUAUGGCUGCUGUGAGCAUUCCGAAUGACCGUCGAAUCAAAAACAGAAUUCCGCGUGCUUUGUUGGCAGCAUGGACGUAUAUAUGUAUACAGUACCAUGCAAAAUCUUCAGCUACUUUAAACUAUUGUAACAUAAGACCUGAUGAUGAGCGAUGGCUAGAGAAAUAUUGGGUUAUAUUUAAUAACCAGUUGAUCUAGUAAGUGGGGCUUCAUAUCAGUGAGGUGGGGCCGGUGUGCAUUGAUGCCAUCGAGAGGUAGACCCCAAAAUGGCACGCAUUCUCUUCUGAUGACCCCAUACACUUGCUGGUUUCUGGUAUGCAGAGUUCUCAACUGGUAGCACUUGCAUGAGCAAGUUGUUUGCAAGACAUCAGCUUAUAAGUUUUUUUACAGGUGAAACAUUGACUCUGUUGGAGUAAUUUCCAUACUUAAGCAUUAUAUUUUGUAGUAGGGGUUCUGAACCAAAGGGGAAGAUGCAAGACGACUACCAAAAAAGGGUCAUGCAAAAAUUUUUGUCCACCUCAUAUAAACCAAUUAAGGUACCGUGUUUUAAAACAGAAAAAUGUCUAUAACAAAAAAUUGAUUACAUAAUGUUCAUUUUAAGAAUUUAUUGUACAUUGUUAAUAUUUCAUAUGGCUUCCCUUAACUUGAAUAAUUGCUUCAAUGCACCUGGGAAGAGAUGUGCACAAAUCCUUCACUAUUUUCACAGGUAUGUGAUACCAUUUUCUGUAGUUGAGCUUCCACAACUCUUUAAGAUUGUGUGGAUUCUUCUGAUGGACUCUUCUUUAUUUUUCUGUCCACAUUUGCGUGAUAAUAUUUAAGUCAGGGCUCUGAGCCGGCCAAUCUUUCAAUAUGGCAACACCUUCAUCAGCCAGAGUUAGUUGUAUUGCAUGUGAUCUGUGGAAUGGAGCUCCAUCAUUAGGAAAAAUUUCAUCUUCAUCCAAGUCUGGUAUCAAAUUGUCCUUCAGCAACUGGGAUGUAUUUGACACCAUUCAAGUUACUGUUAAUUUUAACCAACUUUCUUGAACCAUCACAUUUUAUGUAUCCCCAAAGCAUCAGACUCUUAUCCCCCCAAAACUUCACUGUUUUCGUUGUGUAACAUAGGUCAUCUGACAAAUUCUUGUUUAUUAGAAAGUGAACUGAUCCGUGUGUGGUGUUGCUGUUGUUGUUGUUGUUGUUGUUAGUGGUGGUGGUGGUGGAGGUAACAGAGGCAGCAAUGAUGAUGAUGACGAAACAAGAAGGUGAAACAGUGGUGACAACAGCAGCAGCAGUAGUGGUAGUAGUAGUUCUGGCAGUAGUGGUAGUAGUAGUUCUGGCAGUAGUGGUAGUAGUAGUUCUGGCAGUAGUGGUAGUAGUAGUUCUGGCAGUAGUGGUAGUAGUAGUUCUGGCAGUAGUGGUAGUAGUAGUUCUGGCAGUAGUGGUAGUAGUAGUUCUGGCAGUAGUGGUAGUAGUAGUUCUGGCAGUAGUGGUAGUAGUAGUUCUGGCAGUAGUGGUAGUAGUAGUUCUGGCAGUAGUGGUAGUAGUAGUUCUGGCAGUAGUGGUAGUAGUAGUUCUGGCAGUAGUGGUAGUAGUAGUUCUGGCAGUAGUGGUAGUAGUAGUUCUGGCAGUAGUGGUAGUAGUAGUUCUGGCAGUAGUGGUAGUAGUAGUUCUGGCAGUAGUGGUAGUAGUAGUUCUGGCAGUAGUGGUAGUAGUAGUUCUGGCAGUAGUGGUAGUAGUAGUUCUGGCAGUAGUGGUAGUAGUAGUUCUGGCAGUAGUGGUAGUAGUAGUUCUGGCAGUAGUGGUAGUAGUAGUUCUGGCAGUAGUGGUAGUAGUAGUUCUGGCAGUAGUGGUAGUAGUAGUUCUGGCAGUAGUGGUAGUAGUAGUUCUGGCAGUAGUGGUAGUAGUAGUUCUGGCAGUAGUGGUAGUAGUAGUUCUGGCAGUAGUGGUAGUAGUAGUUCUGGCAGUAGUGGUAGUAGUAGUUCUGGCAGUAGUGGUAGUAGUAGUUCUGGCAGUAGUGGUAGUAGUAGUUCUGGCAGUAGUGGUAGUAGUAGUUCUGGCAGUAGUGGUAGUAGUAGUUCUGGCAGUAGUGGUAGUAGUAGUUCUGGCAGUAGUGGUAGUAGUAGUUCUGGCAGUAGUGGUAGUAGUAGUUCUGGCAGUAGUGGUAGUAGUAGUUCUGGCAGUAGUGGUAGUAGUAGUUCUGGCAGUAGUGGUAGUAGUAGUUCUGGCAGUAGUGGUAGUAGUAGUUCUGGCAGUAGUGGUAGUAGUAGUUCUGGCAGUAGUGGUAGUAGUAGUUCUGGCAGUAGUGGUAGUAGUAGUUCUGGCAGUAGUGGUAGUAGUAGUUCUGGCAGUAGUGGUAGUAGUAGUUCUGGCAGUAGUGGUAGUAGUAGUUCUGGCAGUAGUGGUAGUAGUAGUUCUGGCAGUAGUGGUAGUAGUAGUUCUGGCAGUAGUGGUAGUAGUAGUUCUGGCAGUAGUGGUAGUAGUAGUUCUGGCAGUAGUGGUAGUAGUAGUUCUGGCAGUAGUGGUAGUAGUAGUUCUGGCAGUAGUGGUAGUAGUAGUUCUGGCAGUAGUGGUAGUAGUAGUUCUGGCAGUAGUGGUAGUAGUAGUUCUGGCAGUAGUGGUAGUAGUAGUUCUGGCAGUAGUGGUAGUAGUAGUUCUGGCAGUAGUGGUAGUAGUAGUUCUGGCAGUAGUGGUAGUAGUAGUUCUGGCAGUAGUGGUAGUAGUAGUUCUGGCAGUAGUGGUAGUAGUAGUUCUGGCAGUAGUGGUAGUAGUAGUUCUGGCAGUAGUGGUAGUAGUAGUUCUGGCAGUAGUGGUAGUAGUAGUUCUGGCAGUAGUGGUAGUAGUAGUUCUGGCAGUAGUGGUAGUAGUAGUUCUGGCAGUAGUGGUAGUAGUAGUUCUGGCAGUAGUGGUAGUAGUAGUUCUGGCAGUAGUGGUAGUAGUAGUUCUGGCAGUAGUGGUAGUAGUAGUUCUGGCAGUAGUGGUAGUAGUAGUUCUGGCAGUAGUGGUAGUAGUAGUUCUGGCAGUAGUGGUAGUAGUAGUUCUGGCAGUAGUGGUUGUGACAGUGGAAAUGAUGGGGAUAAGGAUCACGAUGGCAAUGUUGAUGAUGAUUACUUGCAUGUUUUGAAAUUCGUUUUGGAAAAAUAUCAAGAAUUUGGAAGGAUCUAAGUAAAAUAGCUAACAUUCUUUUAUUAUUAUUAUUAUUAUUAUUAUUAUUAUUAUUAUUAUUAUUAUUAUUAUUAUUAUUGUGGGUAUGCAGUAAGUAGCUUGCUUACUAACCAAAUGGUUCCGGGUUCAGUCUUUGGUAGAUGGAAACUGAAAGAAGCCCAUCAUAUAUAUAUAUAUAUAUAAAUAAGAAAAUGGAGGAACAAAAUUCAUUUCGAUCAUCAACUUACAGAUACUACAAUUUCAUAUUAUUUAUUAAUUAUAUAAUGAUAUCCCAUAGUGGGUUACCCUCAUAACCCCUCUCUACUUUGUACUAUAUAUAUAUCAUCAUCAUCGUUUAACGUCCGUUUUCCGUGCUAGCACGAGUCGGACGGUUCGACCGGGGUCUGGGGAGCCAGGACUGCCCCAGGCUCCAGUCUGAUCUGGCAGUGUUUCUACAGCUGGAUGCCCUUCCUAACGCCAUAUAUAUAUAUAUAUAUAUAUAUAUAUAUAGAGAGAGAGAGAGAGAGAGAUAAUGGUGUCAUUGAGACCCAGUUAAGUUCCAGGUUCGCUAAUAUUGCAAAUAAAGGGUUCAACAUUGGUUCUAUGUCAGCGUGUGUAUAAAAGAAUUUUUUGCGUAAUGAGAUAAAAAACCAAGGCUGUAUAGAUAUCAGAGCAUUUAUAGAUAGAAGGUCUUACAUCUAAGACCUUCUAUCUAUAAAUGCUCUGAUAUCUAUACAGCCUUGAUGUUUUAUCUCAUUACACAAAGGAUUCUUUUAUAUAUAUAUAUAUGUAUGUAUGUAUGUAUGUGUGUCUGUGUUUGUCUCCCAACAUCGCUUGAUAACCAAUGCUGGUGUGUUUACAUCCCCAUAACUUAGCAGUUCGGCAAAAGAGACUGAUACAAUAAGUACUAGGCUUACAAAGAAUAAGUCCUGGGAUCGAUUUGUUCGACUAAAGGUGGUGCUCCAGCAUGGCUGCAGGUCAAAUGACUGAGACGAAUAAAAGAAAAAAAGAAUAAAAAAAAUUAUUAUUACUAUUAUUAUUAUUAUUAUUAUUAUUAUUAUUAUUAUUAUUAUUAUUAUUGUCAUCAUCAAGGUUUGACAUAUAACAAAUAGGUCUCAGAUGAAACUGUUAUGGAAAGGUUUUAAUUUGAAUAUGAACACAGUUGAUCCUUUCAUAACAUAAAACCUGAGAGGUAGUUCUUAGGCAGAGAUAAACCAUUGACUGUGAGGAAUCUUUAUGGAAUGAAAUAUUUAGCUGAGUACUUUUCCUUUCCGACAUAAAAACAAUGAAAACACAUUUGCCUUCUUCAUUCCAUUUGUUUUAUUCUAAUUGGCGGACACAAUUAUUGUUGAUGUGAUUAUUAUUAUUAUUAUUAUUGGUCAUUUCGAUAAGAGUAUUGACAAUGUAUAACAACAUAUCUUUCUACUAGAUUGACCACAUGUCAUCAACUGAAAUAUCAAACCCUUUGAUUGGUUGAAUCUAUAAGAGAGAAAGAGGGAGGGAAGGGAUAAAAGGAGGGUGGUGGGUAAAAGGAGAGAGAAAGAGAGAGACACUGUAUUUCAAUUUAAAAUGGGUUUCCAGAUGAUAUUGAAUUAACUUUUCUGCAAAGUGAUUUAUUUAUUAGAUGACACAUUCCCUAUUGUUAUUGUUGUUGUUGUUACUUAGUUCCGUAUCAGGCCUGACUGAACAGACAUUUUGAUCAAAGGUUUCCAAGCCAUGGCCAUUCCAUUAUUUAUUUUUCUUUUUUUUAAGACAGCACGAUGUGAUUGGAGGGAAACUGUGUUACUAUUUCUUGUUGAUGGCGUGACCCCUUCGAGGCUUACUCGUUGGUUUAAAUAAAGGCUUACUGUCUUUCCAUGAGGUCAAUGAUUCAAACUGAGAAAUUACUGCCUCGCUUUACAAGAAUGUCACCUAAUACCUUUUAUAUGCUUCAAUGUGUGGCCAUGCUGGUGCACAGUCUUGACUAGUUUUUAGUCCAACAAAUUGACCCUAAUACUUUUUUUUAAGCCUGGUAUUUAUUCUAU